AUGAGAACAUGUGGAUCCCAGCCUGGCGAUGUUUGCUUUAUUCUUCACCGGGUAAAUCCAUCCCCAGUGAAGCUGUUGACCCUUGGCUCCCGUCUGCCUUGCUUCUCCUCACCCCAGAGCGUCACGUCACAUCCGGGCUGCAGGAACACAUGCCACUGUCGUCCUGCUCGCAGCCAGGGGUGUGUGAAGCGUCCAGUUGGAGGGCCUAGGACCCUCCUUCCCCAUGGUUCCUCCAGGGUCCUUUGUGUGGCCUGGUGGCCCUGCCUUGCUUGGAAGUUGUCUGUCUUUGGGGCUGGAGGUUCUAGGUCCUGUCCCUACUCAGUGCUGGGAGAACUUGGGUACACAACUGAGAUGCGCGCACACACACACACACACGUGCAAUGGGUGGAGCGGAGUGCUGUCGCCUGCUGUUUGUGUUGCACUGCUGUGUGCCACUCCAGUGGGUCCUGUCUGGCAAAGACAAACAGCGGCUUCUCUGGGACAAUCGGUCGGUGGCUUGAUGCUGUGCCGUGUGACCUGCUCCCCUUGAAGUGGCUGCUGGCUCUGGAGGAGGGCACCCAGGUCCCUGUCCCAGCUGCUGAGGCCUUGGGCACCUUGCAGAGAACAGUUCUGAGGUUCCCUGGAAUAGCCACCUCCUCACGUGGGUGCAGAGGGGUUGGAAGGAAGGCACAAAGUUUGCAUCGCUCUUACCGAGAGCCAAGGAGCCAGCAUCCUAGAGAAUCGCACACAAACACGGGGCCAGCGCCCCAGAUGGGGAGCAGGGGCAGGAGCCGAGGGAGAGGCAGGGAUGCCCCGGGCACUGCCUGUCCCAUUCACACUGGCCAAAUGUGGAAGCCACCCCGGUGUCCCCUGACCGGUGACCGAGCCAGCGCCGGGUGGAUAGCCACGGGACGGAGUGGGUAUUCAACCUUAACAAGGACAGGGAUCCAGACACAAGCCCCAGCGUGGCUGAGCCUCAAGGACACUGUGGGCAGUGUAAGGACAGUCACAGUGGGACCAGCUCCCUGA
rnacentral:lncRNA from 1 species